CGUUUUUAAUUUGCAUAAAUAGGAGAUUGCUCUUUAAGAUGAGGCAUUUAGAAUUCAGAUAAAACACAAGCGUGAGAGUUUGCGGACAAUAGUCAAGAAGUUGCAUACGGUGGAAAAAAGCAUUUGAAGGUUUAAUUAUUGAAAGAAACGGAUAACAAAAUGGUUUCAAAGCGGAUGCUUCUAGUGUUGAUCACGUGUAUGUUUGCAAUCUCAUCAUAUACCGAUGCGUUUAUUUCUAUUGGUGGAUUACCGUACCCAGGGCCUACCAUUGGCCCGUACUCUACAUCGAUGAAAGAAAUAUGCAAAGUAUUGGAUGCCAAAUGUCUUCGACUUUGUGCGUCUCUGGAUCUGAAUUAUUGGAAUUGUUACCGGCUUCACAAAGAAGCGAGCAAGGCUAGAAAAGAGCAAGAUGUUCUGGAACUUGAUUACUGAUGUUCUGAUGAAUUAUUUAAGACUCUUGCAAAAGCAUUGUACGUUCAAUCUUAUUCUAGAUAAAAAUUUACUCUCCUUCUUGGUGAUUGUAAAUUGUUCCUCUGGAAUUUCUAGAAUAACGGAUACAUAUUAACGCAUUGAGAAAAUAUGUUUAAAUGUAUUAAUUCUUUAAGUAGGUAAAUCAAACUA